UAGCUUUGAGAAACCUAGCCACACUUUCAGCACUCAGGCCUUUAGUGCUCAUUGGAAUAAGGUCCCCGCAAUCCAAUGUCGACCUACAAAUGAAGUUUUUUACGGACAGGAGCAUUUUUCUUCAACAUGGAACUAACAGUCAUGAUUUUCUUCUCAUAACGUAAAUCUGAAAGGUCACUUGUUACAUCCGACAUCGGGCUGAAAAUGUAUACACAUUGCAUUGUGUUAAAAAGAAUUAUGAUGGAAAAAUAGUGAGAUCUCUCUUUCUAGACUGUAGGGUGAUGAACCUGUACCAAUCAUACUGUCUGUCUUAUUUAUCUGACAACUGUCCCGAUACUGAAGAAAAUGUUGACAGACAACACAAUUAGGCUAGGAAGACUAGAUGGUCAGUGAUUCAAAAUUACUAAAUUUGAAUUGUUACAUAAAAAAAGUAACUGGUUUACAAAUUAUCCUAACAGUCAAAAUUUGUUAAAGAUAUAUUUUUAACCAUUCAAAAUUCAACUUUAAAGGUGGGGGGGGCAGAAUUCAUCACUAAUGUCCUAGCUUCGAAUCUAAGUAGCUCUGAAUUUGAUUGUAAACUACUUCAUACUUAAUCUCAAAAUACUAUUUUUAUAUUUGCUUAUGUGUUUCAUCCUGACAUCUUCAGGGUUGCUAAGAACGGCAUUCAUACUCCAAAAUUACAAUUAAGUUCAGAACUUAUUAGAAACAUGUUUUUCUCAAGGGAAGUAUGUGGCCUAUUUGCCAAGAGAGAAUUUUUUGUGUCAGAGCCUGUGCUCCCCCCCCUUUGGUUUUUGAAUGCAUUGUGCACAAGAGAAAACUUGGUCCAGAGCUUUCUCUAUAAAACUGAGUGUUAAUGUAAGAGAGUUGGCCAAAAAAUAAGAUAACUUAUGUACAGGAAUUAUUGUAAAUAAACUUGUAGGGUAGUACACUUUUUUUCUGCGUGUUACCUCUUGUACCCACAUGAUGAUGAUGUCAACUCUCUCCCUCUUGGCUUUACAACAUUUUCAUAAUCCUAUAAUGAUAAAUAUACAUUACUCAUUCAAUUUUAACACAAUACACUGGUAGAUAUGGUAUUAAUAGAUUUAAUUUUAUAUUAAAACACGAUCCGAAAACACACACUGAACAUGGUCACCAAUACAUUAAACAAAGAGAAGCAGAGAAAUAUUUGUUGCAUAUAUAAGCACAUGGAUUAAAUAGUUUGGUUCAUUAAAUAAUAAAGAAUCUACAUCAAAGUGA